UACAGAGGGUGCAGCAGUUAAUCGGAAUUACUGGGCGUAAAGCGUGCGUAGUCGGUUAUCUAAGUCGGGUGUGAAACUCCCCGGGCGUCAACCUGGGAAUUGCAUUCGAUACUGGAUAGCUAGAGUUCGGCAGAGGGAAGCGGAAUUUCGGGUGUAGCGGUAGAAAUGCGUGAGAUAUCCGGAAGGAACAUCAGUGGCGGAAAGCGGACUCACUGGACCUAACUGACGACUGAGGCGGGCGAAA
rnacentral:rRNA from 1 species